GUAGGUUCACCAACAUAGGCAUAAAUAUUUUCCCAAUGCACAACAAAAUAAUAGGUUCACCAAUACAUAGGCAUGAAUAUUUUUCCGAUAGCACAAAUAAUACUAGGUUCGCCAACACAUAGGCAUGAAUAUUGUUCCGAUAGCACAACAUAAUACUAGGUUCGCCAACACAUAGGCAUAAAUAUUGUUCGAUAGCAUAGAACAUAAGCAAAUAUUAUCAAUAGAUAAGAUGGAACAAACUAGUUCCCAUACUUGAGGUCAAACCUCCUACGCAACCAACCCUUUUGAGAGUCAGCUGUCAUGUGCAGGAACAUCUCCCUUUGCUCCCUCUUUAUAAAGAGCUCAGUAGCAAUGAAGUGCUCAUCUGUGCCUUCUAUUGCGCUGCAAGCACGAACUAAAUCCAUCGUAGAGGCAACAGAGGUGGUCUCAUCUUUCUGUAGGAAAGACUGAAACGAUGUGUGUGAAGCAUGGGCAAUGGAACUAAUCUUUCUAAUCUCCUCCUGCAUCACUUGUGCGGUCUUCGGUCUCUUGUUCUUCUCCGAAAUCGUGAUCCCAAGCCUCACUUUAGAUCCACUAGCUAUUGUCGGAGAUGCUUGCUCCUCGGUAUCAUCCUCCAAAUCCAGACCAGUGAUUCCAUCGACAUUCAAGGCGUCUUUUAAUGCUGCACUAGAGGGGGGAGGCAUGCCAGAUGCGGGGUUCCAAUGGUCACUACCAUCGACACUGAUAUCCUCAAACAAUAGGCGCAAGCCUUCUUCAUUACGAAGUCCAUGCUUCUUGAACUUGCCACAACCUGGG
rnacentral:lncRNA from 1 species